rnacentral:rRNA from 1 species
AUUGAACGCUGGCGGAAUGCUUUACACAUGCAAGUCGAACGGCAGCACGGACUUCGGUCUGGUGGCGAGUGGCGAACGGGUGAGUAAUACAUCGGAACGUGCCCAGUCGUGGGGGAUAACGUAGCGAAAGCUACGCUAAUACCGCAUACGAUCUACGGAUGAAAGCGGGGGAUCGCAAGACCUCGCGCGAGUGGAGCGGCCGAUGGCAGAUUAGGUAGUUGGUGGGGUAAAGGCUCACCAAGCCGAUGAUCUGUAGCUGGUCUGAGAGGACGACCAGCCACACUGGGACUGAGACACGGCCCAGACUCCUACGGGAGGCAGCAGUGGGGAAUUUUGGACAAUGGGCGCAAGCCUGAUCCAGCCAUUCCGCGUGCAGGAUGAAGGCCCUCGGGUUGUAAACUGCUUUUGUACGGAACGAAAAGGCUCUGGUUAAUACCUGGGGCUCAUGACGGUACCGUAAGAAUAAGCACCGGCCAACUACGUGCCAGCCGCCGCAGUAA